GGACGGUGUUUUGCGAGAAAGUGUGCAUCAAAGGCGACGUGUGGCUAAACUGUGGCAUCCGUAUCCACCAGUGCGAGCACAACGCUGCGUUCAUUUGUUUAAUUUUAAUCGCCGGCUCUAGCAUUGUGAUGGUUGGCAAUGAACCAACUAGAGCCCAACGCUCACACGCACAACAGAUCUUCAAUAUAAUUUCAAGAUUCCACAGCGUUCAACAGGAAAUAUAAUACCAGCAGAGAGGCUUUGAAUGAAUAUGCGCCUCCCUACUGUUCCCCUACAAACUAGCAAACAUUGCAGCCACAGAAGUGCAGCUUUUUCAACUGAAAUGUGAUAGAAUGUUGGAACAGACACCAAUAAACGUCUAUAUGACUGCUGCCGUGGCCACGUACAAGAGAAGCACCGGGUGGCAGAUGUUGCUAACAUCUGUGCAGUGGGAAAGGAUCUUGUCUGAUCUCUUAUCACCCCGCUUGUACACAGAAGAGGACCAACACCUAAACGCGGGGAAAUCGGAACACAGUACCUUCGCGUUCAUAUGGUAAAAACCAUCAGUCCCCCGACGUGUUCCACUCGUCUUUGACUGCCUCUUCAUAAAACUUCUUAAUCCAGUUGCCAGGGAGACUCUGAUCAACCGAACCGGCAUGGUUCAGCAUCGGUUUGAGAAUAAGAUUCUCCUGACCUUGAUGUGAAGGGCUUCAUACGUUUUCUGCUGCACAGGAACUCCAUCUCCUUCGCGCUCACACAAAGGCUCUGCAAAAGCCUCCAUUUCCAGCUUGGACAGUGUGCUGUUACUGCUGUACUGUCUGCAAUCCCUCAGCAUGUCUGCUCACACCCUCAGCCAGACAACACAGUCUGCCUGCAGCAGAGAAGGAACAGGCAUCCAUUAGAGAACGAGUUCAUCUCGUUCACAUUGACUAGGUGUAAAAAGGAAAAGCAAAACACAGCCAAUUCGGCUUCCGCAUUUUUAAAGUGAAACAUGUGGACCCUGAAUACAGGCCGGCCUAUGUUCUGCUGAUUUUCAUCUAUUGUGACAUAUGGAGUAGUUUGUAUAUUUGUUUGGAUAAACAUAAAAAGCAGUGUAAAACCAAAACCAAAUAUGUGCUAUCUUUCUGGCACUUUCUGGCUUUUUCCAAACAACAUAGAGGAAAGGAAGGUCACUGGGAUGAGGCCACAGAGCCAUCAGUUCUCAGGUGGGUCAUGGAAACCAGAUGCCUUUCAGUAGUUUGUAGUGGCAGAAUCCACAAAAAAAUGGUUUAUUAAAUGUAUACAGCUGGCUAGGUGAGUGAAUAUGCAUGUAUCCAUCUUCUGUCAUUAAAUAAACCACUUAAAAGCU